GUAGGUAGCCUAACCGCAAGGGGGCGCGUUACCACGGUAUGAGUUCAUGACUGGGUG
rnacentral:rRNA from 1 species